rnacentral:rRNA from 1 species
AGUAAAGUGGCGAACGGGUGAGUAACACGUAGCUAACCUGCCCUGAAGCGGGGGAUAACCUGGGGAAACUCGGGCUAAUACCGCGUAACCUCCUGGUGGCGCAAGCCGCCGGGAGCGAAGGCCCGCAAGGGCCACUUCGGGAGGGGGCUGCGGCCGAUUAGCUUGUUGGCGGGGUAACGGCCCACCAAGGCGAUGAUCGGUAGCCGGCCUGAGAGGGCGCACGGCCACACUGGCACUGAAACACGGGCCAGGCUCCUACGGGAGGCAGCAGUUCGGAAUUUUGCACAAUGCCCGAAAGGGUGAUGCAGCAACGCCGCGUGAGGGAUGAAGGCCUUCGGGUCGUAAACCUCUUUCGACCGGGAAAAACGUCCCGAUGAAGAGUCGGGAUUGAUGGUACCGGUGGAAGAAGCCCCGGCCAACUACGUG